CCAUUAAUGAAAAGUUCAAAACUUGAGGGAAAAAAAAUUUGGUUGAUGGCUUUUUCGAGUCCAACUUCAACCCUCUUUUGUUCUCAACCAUUUUAACGAAGAGUUAUUCUAUAGAAAAGCCACUGUAGCAGUACAUUCACUAAGGGGCUUCUUCUAUUUUUAUUUUUAUUUUAAAUUUAAACCAAAACGCACCGUUUUGAAUCAAUUUGAAGUACAGUUUCAAUUUUUAUCCAUAUUUGAAAUCAGCCCAUGAAUCACCCUCCUCCCUCGACAGCAACUAGCGGAUUGCUUCACCUACCCAGUGCCUCCCAGCGACAGUGUGUCUCUCGUCAAUGCCUUUCUCUUGCGUCGCUUCUUCAUCAGCCUAGCGCCGCGCUACCAUAAAACUCAUAUUCGAUUACCGUUCCAAAGAGGAACUCUUAGCUCGAUACCAAAACGCAAUCUUAAUACAUAGGUCUGAGAUACAAGACUGCUGGUUGUACGAGCUAGGCAGAUAGGCGAAAGUCGUCUCUUAAAGAUCGACGCGAAGGAGAAGUUAAUACAGCUUUAGGGAAAGGCUGGGACGAUGUGCUACGAGGUGAAGUGCUCUGUUUGCGGCAAGACCACAUGGGACGGCUGUGGAAGGCAUGUCCUUUCUGUUUACAAACGAAUCCCGGAAGGCCAGCACUGUCGUUGCCGAGAAUGGCCUGGCGUCAAACCAGGAGAUCAUUCUUCUAGCAAUGUUUCUCAAAGUCAACCCUCUUCUUCAUGUGCUAUUCUCUGAAAUGCCUCUCUCUCUGUCUUACGUUUGCUGCCUUCUGUUUUCCCUCAACUCGGUUCCUUGCGUGUGGAGCUAGUGCUUUGUCUGUGUGCGCUUCUCUUUGCGUAUAUAUUUGUGCUUUUCAUAUGCAAGAGUUUGUUGCUAAAGUUGUGAACAUAUGCAAGAUGGAAUCGGGGAAUAAAAAUUCUGGUGUGGUUGAUGUGUGUUGUAACAGAGACCUAAAGGCAAAUAAAGGCUAGAUUUUUAUCU